UUGAGGAGGAAGGCAAUGCUCCAAAGGAGCAUUUAUAAUGCCUUCCGACGACCUGCCGCCGACCGUAAGGGAGGGGGCGUUUCAAACA
rnacentral:sRNA from 12 species